rnacentral:rRNA from 1 species
UACGUAGGGCGCAAGCGUUGUCCGGAAUUAUUGGGCGUAAAGGGCUCGUAGGCGGUUUGUCGCGUCGGGAGUGAAAACUCAGGGCUCAACCCUGAGCGUGCUUCCGAUACGGGCAGACUAGAGGUAUGCAGGGGGAGAACGGAAUUCCUGGUGUAGCGGUGAAAAUGCGCAGAUAUCAGGAGGAACACCGGUGGCGAAGGCGGUUCUCUGGGCAUGAUCUGACGCUGAGGAGCGAAAGUGUGGGGAGCGAACAGG